CCUCCUACGGGGGGCAGCAGUGGGGAAUAUUGGGCAAUGGGCGCAAGCCUGACCCAGCAACGCCGCGUGAAGGAAGAAGGCUUUCGGGUUGUAAACUUCUUUUCUCAGGGACGAAGAUGACGGUACCUGGGGAGGAAGCUCCGGCUAACUACGUGCCAGCAGCCGCGGUAAUACGUAGGGAGCGAGCGUUGUCCGGAAUUACUGGGUGUAAGGGGAGCGUAGGCGGGACUGCAAGUUGGGUGUCAAAUCUACCGGCUCAACCGGUAGCCGCACUCAAAACUGCAGUUCUUGAGUGAAGUAGAGGG
rnacentral:rRNA from 1 species